GUAUAUAUAUAUAUAUAUAUAUAUAUAUAUAUAUAAAGGUAAAGUGACCCCUGACCAUUAGGUCCGGUCGUGGCCGACUCUGGGGUUGUGGCGCCACCCACGUCCCAUAUAUAUAUAUAUAUAUAUAUAUAUAUAUAUAUAUAU